rnacentral:rRNA from 1 species
UACGUAGGGGGCUAGCGUUGUCCGGAAUCAUUGGGCGUAAAGCGCGUGUAGGCGGUCCGGUAAGUCCGCUGUGAAAGUCGGGGGCUCAACCCUCGGAUGCCGGUGGAUACUGUCGGGCUUGAGUACGGAAGAGGCGAGUGGAAUUCCUGGUGUAGCGGUGAAAUGCGUAGAUAUCAGGAGGAACACCGGUGGUGUAGACGGCUCACUGGACCGUAACUGACGCUGAGACACGAAAGCGUGGGUAGCAAACAGG